AGCAUCAAUUUCUCCCAAAGAAGAACUCUCGCUACAACUCUCAACUCUACUCUGAAGCUCCUCAAUCUUAAAAUCUGCAUCUUCAUCAACAUUUUCACCCUCCCAACCGAGAGAAUACCACCCACAUUUCUUCUUUAUAGCCUCCACCAAAUCCAUUCUUCCAGCUUUGAGCAACUCUUCCUUUGUCGGAAACAUUGACGGCUUCUCCGAUUUAUCCAUAAACUCCAUUAUUUCCGCCUCCAAUUCUGCGUCUCCAUCACUCUCUUUAUUACGCCAAAAGCACCUAAAACUCUGGUUACUACCUUCAAUUUUCCUCAACCUUUUCACUUCAAGAAAUCGCAUAGAACGGCUAAAAUUUGCAGCUUUUAAGUACCUUCGAAGCCUUCUUUUCUGAUUGUAUACACAAAAUUGAGAAGGUGUCACUAGAUAAUUCAAAUGCAAUAAGGGGUGAUGGGAAUUCGUAACGUGUGCACGAGUUGUGAUGAGCGUAAACAUCGUUCACGAAACGUGAAUUAAAGAGGCAGGCUGCAAAAAAUUGGAGAGAGAGUGAUUAGAGAUGAAGCAACGAACAAUAUCGUAGCGUGCAUUAAUG
rnacentral:lncRNA from 1 species